rnacentral:rRNA from 1 species
UACGUAGGGCGCAAGCGUUAUCCGGAAUUAUUGGGCGUAAAGAGCUCGUAGGCGGUUUGUCGCGUCUGCUGUGAAAGCCCGGGGCUCAACCCCGGGUCUGCAGUGGGUACGGGCAGACUAGAGUGAUGUAGGGGAGACUGGAAUUCCUGGUGUAGCGGUGAAAUGCGCAGAUAUCAGGAGGAACACCGAUGGCGAAGGCAGGUCUCUGGGCAGUAACUGACGCUGAGGAGCGAAAGCGUGGGUAGCAAACAGG